CAAUUACCGAGAAAGUUGGGAGGUCUUUCCCUUCUUCUUUUUUCUUUCUUGUUUUGUCUCCUUUCGUCUUAUUUCGUCUUGCUCUCUUUUGGGUGCUCUGUCAUUUAAGAGUUAAGUUGCGGUUUGGGAGCCAACG
ensembl:ncRNA T21H8.9 ncRNA